rnacentral:rRNA from 1 species
AGUGAACGCUGGCGGUAGGCCUAACACAUGCAAGUCGAACGGCAGCACAGUAAGAGCUUGCUCUUACGGGUGGCGAGUGGCGGACGGGUGAGGAAUACAUCGGAAUCUACUUUUUCGUGGGGGAUAACGUAGUGAAACUUACGCUAAUACCGCAUACGACCUACGGGUGAAAGCAGGGGAUCUUCGGACCUUGCGCGAUUGAAUGAGCCGAUGUCGGAUUAGCUAGUUGGCGGGGUAAGGGCCCACCAAGGCGACGAUCCGUAGCUGGUCUGAGAGGAUGAUCAGCCACACUGGAACUGAGACACGGUCCAGACUCCUACGGGAGGCAGCAGUGGGGAAUAUUGGACAAUGGGCGCAAGCCUGAUCCAGCCAUACCGCGUGGGUGAAGAAGGCCUUCGGGUUGUAAAGCCCUUUUGUUGGGAAAGAAAAGCAGCAGGUUAAUACCCCGCUGUUCUGACGGUACCCAAAGAAUAAGCACCGGCUAACUUCGUG